GACAGGGGGGGCAAGCGUUGCUCGGAAUCACUGGGCGUAAAGGGCGCGUAGGCGGGAUGGCAAGUCGGUCGUGAAAUCCUUCGGCUCAACCGAAGAACGUCGGCCGAUACUGCCGUUCUUGAGGGAUGCAGAGGAGAUUGGAAUUCCCGGUGUAGCGGUGAAAUGUGUAGAGAUCGGGAGGAACACCGGUGGCGAAGGCGGGUCUCUGGGCAUCUCCUGACGCUGAGGCGCGAAAGCGUGGGGAGCAAACGGG
rnacentral:rRNA from 1 species